rnacentral:rRNA from 1 species
UACGAAGGGGGCGAGCGUUGUUCGGAAUUACUGGGCGUAAAGGGCGCGCAGGCGGCCCUUGAAGUCAGGCGUGAAAGCCCCCGGGCUCAACCUGGGAGGUGCGCUUGAUACUCGAGGGCUUGAGUGCGGGAGAGGAGAGUGGAAUUCCCAGUGUAGAGGUGAAAUUCGUAGAUAUUGGGAAGAACACCGGUGGCGAAGGCGGUUCUCUAGGACGGUACUGACGCUGAGACGCGAAAGCGUGGGGAGCGAACAGG